UUUUUUUUAUUUUGAAAAAUUUUACGAUUUCCGGAUUUUGUUCAUCUCCGUUUCCAGUAACCGUCUAAAAUUUUGUUUCCUUCCAAACUUCCUGUUUCAAAUUUCGGUUUUCGUAUUUCUUCGAGUAAUUAAAAAAGAUUCUGCAGCUCUAUGAUGACAAAAUCGUCUACCGUGUAUAGAGAUUGAUUUCGAGAAGGGCAUGAAAUAAUCGGGUUACAAGUAAUACGCUGUGUCCAAGAUGGCAAAUCGCGGCAUGACACAAAUAUCUGUAAUUAUAAAACCGUUGAUUUUUUAUUGAAAAAUGACUUUGUGGCAGGAAUUUUGGAACGUGAAUUAUACCCAUUGAAAGAGCAAGAAUUGUUGAACACAUUGGUACAAAAACGUAACUGUAUAAACAAAAUGAUGCAAGCACAAACUUGUUAAAUAUAUGACAAUAUAUUGAGUUCAAAAAGUCGGCAAACAUACAAUUAGAUUUACCCAUGGCUAUUUUUUUGUUGACAAACAGUAAUCACCUUCAGUCCCAAUACCCUCAAUAGAGCCAUUAAACAACUUCUCCUUUUUGGUUAAGUUCAUGUUUUACAUAUUAAUUAUAUUUGCAUCUAUUAGAAGAAUCAUAAAAGCACCAGCCCUUUUGUUUUGAAAACUGUUUCAUUUUAUUCUGUACUCGUAAUUCUUUAGUUGCAUAUUUGUUUCAUUUUAUGGAGACAAAAACAUGGUCGCUUAGAAAGACACAUACAUUUGGUGAUGGUAGUCCAACUGAAGAGAGCAUUCUUUUUUGUUUUUGCUGUUUAGGUUUCUAAAGCAGCAAUUACACGUAGAACAGUGGUUGCCAAUCAGAGCUUUUUAUUCAUGUUAAGAUUUGAAAUAUUAUGUACGAUUCCUUAUACAUGUAUAUACACGAUAUAAGCUUAUUAUUACACUUCCAUAUUUGAAGAACACGUCACA
rnacentral:lncRNA from 1 species